rnacentral:rRNA from 1 species
UACGUAGGGGGCUAGCGUUGUCCGGAAUCAUUGGGCGUAAAGCGCACGUAGGCGGGUUGUUAAGUCAGGGGUGAAAUCCUGGAGCUCAACUCCAGAACUGCCUUUGAUACUGGCAACCUAGAGACUGGAAGAGGUUAGUGGAAUUCCCAGUGUAGAGGUGAAAUUCGUAGAUAUUGGGAAGAACACCAGUGGCGAAGGCGGCUAACUGGUCCAGCACUGACGCUGAGGUGCGAAAGCGUGGGGAGCAAACAGG